rnacentral:rRNA from 1 species
GACGAACGCUGGCGGCGUGCUUAACACAUGCAAGUCGAACGGAAAGGCCCUGCUUUUGUGGGUUGCUCGAGUGGCGAACGGGUGAGUAACACGUGAGUAACCUGCCCUUGACUUUGGGAUAACUUCAGGAAACUGGGGCUAAUACCGGAUAGGAGCUCCUGCUGCAUGGUGGGGGUUGGAAAGUUUCGGCGGUUGGGGAUGGACUCGCGGCUUAUCAGCUUGUUGGUGGGGUAGUGGCUUACCAAGGCUUUGACGGGUAGCCGGCCUGAGAGGGUGACCGGCCACAUUGGGACUGAGAUACGGACCAGACUCCAACGGGAGGCAGCAGUGGGGAAUAUUGCACAAUGGGCGGAAGCCUGAUGCAGCAACGCCGCGUGCGGGAUGACGGCCUUCGGGUUGUAAACCGCUUUCGCCUGUGACGAAGCGUGAGUGACGGUAAUGGGUAAAGAAGCACCGGCUAACUACGUG